UAGGGAAUAUUGGACAAUGGGUGAGAGCCUGAUCCAGCCAUGCCGCGUGCAGGAAGAAGGCGUUAUGCGUUGUAAACUGCUUUUUGCCAGGGGAUAAAAAGACCGUGCGCGGUUAAUUGAAGGUACCUGGUGAAUAAGCCACGGCUAACUACGUGCCAGCAGCCGCGGUAAUACGUAGGUGGCAAGCGUUGUCCGGAUUUAUUGGGUUUAAAGGGUGCGUAGGUGGCCCUGUAAGUCAGUGGUGAAAUAUCUCAGCUUAACUGAGAGGGUGCCAUUGAUACUGCAGGGCUUGAGUACAGAUGAGGUAGGCGGAAUUGACGGUGUAGCGGUGAAAUGCGUAGAGAUCGGAAAGAACACUCGUGGCGAAGGCGGCUUUCUGGCCCAUAACUGACGCUGAGGUGCGAAAGCAUGGGGAGCAAACAGGAUUAGAUACCCUCGUAGUCCCUGAGCGGGCUGGCAAGGCGCAU
rnacentral:rRNA from 1 species